AUGUGCAGCCCGAUUUCCCCCGCGACAUCCUCCAAAGCUUCCACACAUUGGUCAAGGAGACGGCACAUUCCCCACAUCCUCCUCCUGAUGGCAGCCUCGUCAGGCCAUGGAAACUCGCAUUCGUGGUCACUGACGCGAGUGCUCCUCGAUACGAUCCAUGGAUUCUACCUGCAGGCUCUCGCCAGAUUGCCGGUUGGUUACCACCGCAGCCUGCUCGAUGCCGGACAUUGCUACGGCCCGUUUGACCCCGUCUCGAACAUCAUCGUCAACACCAUCUGGUACCAAGCCAACUUCCCACCACUGAGUCAGCAAGACGAGCUCGACAUUGUCGGCACAUUGUGCCUAAUGCGGAUUGAAGCACGAUCCUUCUACGGACUUGUCUCCUUCCUCUGCACCUGUUACCAAGAUCUCAACGCCGAUCAGGCCAUAAGGUUCCUGCUCGACACGGCACUCAAUUUGUCCGCAACAAAGCACUGCAGCAGUGUCAAGGAAGAACAAGAAGCCUACCGGGCUGCUGCCAUUGCGGCAUGGCACCCCAGACCCGACGCCCAAGCAGGAUUCCUCAGUUCAUUAAAGGCGAUGUUGGUAGCGCCUCGUGUCCUGUCACUGCUACAAGAUGGAGGCCAGUAUCAGCUCUCCUCUCAAUGUGUCCACCAGAUACACACGCUAUUGUGCUCUGAAUACCAUUCCAUUGUUGGUGUCCCAACCCAUCAGCAGAGGCCAGCUCCCAUUUCUGAACGGCAGUUCCAUUUUACCAUGUCUGAGGGACGUAAACAGCGAAGGGCUCAUAGAAGGAUCUCCGCAAAGGUCAAGGCUGCACUAAUGAGAUAUGAGAAGCAGAAUUCAGGACACUCUUAUCGGCUUCAUGUGGUGUGUGGUGUGAAUGAAUGUGUGUCAGGUCCUGACAACUGCGAAGGCUCGGGCUUGAAGCCAGGACUUGAUCCUAAUGAUGACUACUCCCAUCACACCCAUGCCAACUUUCUGGCGACUCGAAAUGUGGCCGGCAUAGUUUCAGCUCCUGUACUCUUCUUUGCCGAGCUUAGCAACCACGACGACGACCAGGAUAGCCAGCUUCUGUGUUGCCCCGUGGAUUUGCCACCACCAGGCGCUGCAGGACUAGUCCGCUGCCUUUUCUGCGAGCAUCAAGGAAUCAGGAUUGUGCACCCGGCCCUGGAGAGAUUCCAUGGGCACAAGGCGGAGUUCGAGAAGAUGGUCCGCGGAGAAAACCUGUACAAUAAUGACUACUAUCCCGAGGGCGACAUCGAGCCCUACACUAACCAUCAAAUCUUAAAGCACAGUGAAUAUGUUGCCAGGUGGGUGCACGACGGACUCGACGAGGAUUGCAUGUACCUCGGUAGCAAUGACUUCAACAUCGAGGAAGAUGAAAGCGAGGAGGAGGUUGACGACCUGGAGUAA
rnacentral:rRNA from 1 species